UACGUAGGGUGCAAGCGUUGUCCGGAAUUAUUGGGCGUAAAGAGCUCGUAGGCGGUUUGUCGCGUCGAAUGUGAAAACCCGGGGCUCAACCCCGGGCCUGCAUUCGAUACGGGCAGACUUGAGUUCGGUAGGGGAGACUGGAAUUCCUGGUGUAGCGGUGAAAUGCGCAGAUAUCAGGAGGAACACCGGUGGCGAAGGCGGGUCUCUGGGCCGAUACUGACGCUGAGGAGCGAAAGCGUGGGGAGCAAACAGG
rnacentral:rRNA from 1 species